rnacentral:rRNA from 1 species
CCAAUAGCGUAUGUUAAAGUUGUUGCAGUUAAAAAGCUCGUAGUUGAAUUUCGGGAUCAAUUCGUCGGUCGUGCUUUUUGGUACGUACUGGUGUUAUUGGUUUCUCCUUUCUGACGAUCCAUGAUGUCAUUAAUUUGGUGUUAUGGGGGUUCGGGACUGUUACUUUGAAAAAAUUAGAGUGUUUAAAGCAGGCAUUAGCUUGAAUACAUUAGCAUGGAAUAAUGAAAUAGGACGUUCGAUCCUAUUUUGUUGGUUUCUAGGAUCAACGUAAUGAUUAAUAGGGAUAGUUGGGGGCAUUAGUAUUCAAUUGUCAGAGGUGAAAUUCUUGGAUUUAUUGAAGACUAACUACUGCGAAAGCAUUUGCCAAGGAUGUUUUCAUUAAUCAAGAACGAAAGUUAGGGGAUCGAAGACGAUCAGAUACCGUCGUAGUCUUAACCAUAAACUAUGCCGACUAGGGAUCGGAUGAUGUUAAUUUUUUAAUGACUCAUUCGGCGCCUUACG